GAUAGGUUCAGUAAAGAUGCUGAGGAAAAAAACACCACCUACUUCCUACACCACCUACUUCCUGCACCACCCAGUUGUUUUUCUUCUCAUCAUGAGAAGAUUUCCUUUCAAGUACAGACCGAAGAGCUCAUGCACCCCAAGUCCAAAGGGUGGGUAAUGAACUCAUCUGGAAUAGGCAUUUUGGUCCCUUGGUGGUUGACUGCAUCAGAUCUCUGGCAGAGACGGAACAGCCUGUCAACAUUUGAAUGAGGGGUAAAAAUGACAACAGAUCUGUGUAUUUAACCACACGUAGAUUCGCCGGGUAUYGGUGGGAAUUAACGAAAGCGUUACGGUGUGCCCAAGCAUCCUCUCUCCCCCACGGCUGCCGGUCUGCUGUGCUGCUCCUGUACAGAAGCCCAACUAGGUGCUUUCUCCUCAAGGCCUUGAUUUGGUGAAGCCCUUCUGCAGUUAUUCAACUUUAGGUGGGAAGAGGACACUUCAGGAAGAUACACUGGAAGAUGCAGAGACAAAGCCAGGAUGUUCCCAUCUGAUCUCCCCUUCCAGCUCCCCUGGAGGUAGUCUAGUUUGGAGAGAGAAGCCCUCACAGGAGAGAUUUUUGCCUUUCCAGAGGAACUCGGCCACAGGACACCCAAGAAAAGUGAUUUCUGCAGCUUCACUGCCCUGUCCAAAAUUGCUCUGUUCUCAGACCGGGGAAGCAGUGGGAGGAGAGCGGGAUGGUGCCUCUGGGGCCCACCGUUGCUGCCUGGGGUUGUGGCACUGCUCUGGGAAAGGUAAGAGCCUUUGUAGGAAGAUGAGGGAAGCAGUGGAUAGAGGCUUUGGAAGGUGGGUAGUAGGGAGAGGGUCCCCUUUGGGGAACGCAUGGCUGUGUUAGAGUUGCGGGGGGUGGUAGGACGCUGGGGAGCAGUGUGUUGCAUGUGUGCAAACAGGAGCUAUUUGGGGUGACAGAGCAGUGCAGGGGGGUGACAGCAAGGCAGUGCAGGAACUGGCAUGGCACUUGCAGUAGCUGCAACGUCCCUGAGUUAGCUAAUGUCAAUGGCUUGCAAAUCUUCAAUGGCCUACCCAUCUAGCUGAGCUGUGCUGCCAAUGAAAGAAAGCUCUUCAGGGCAGGGAAUGAGCCCUUGUAUUUGGAARGGACCUACCUGGGAAUUAGACCCGUGUGGCUAUGCUGAGCCGCGUGUCUCACUGCAGCUUGGAGGGCGCUGGCGAGAAGUUGGCUUUUGCAAUACRUUUGUGCAGUGCCGAGCACAGGAGACCCACAGUGGCUGAGAUCUGCCAGCAUGGCUGCAAUGCAAGUAAUGCAAAUUGUUCUUUAUACAACUGCAUCCAUACUUUUACUGUUCUCAUUGCAAAUUCACUUGCUUUGCACCUGGAAACAUGCACCUGAAUGUCAUUUUGGUGUUGCUGGUGGUUGGAAAUCAAUAUUAAUUUACUUGUGCGUAUAAAUACAGAAAUGUAUUUAUAAGUUUCAGAUCAGUUGCAAACACAUGCAAAUUCUGUACAUAAAUUCUCACUCAUUUAUGUAAUCUGUUCAGUAAUGUCAUUAAGGAGAGCACAUCUAGUGCCUGGCUAGAGUUACAUUUGCAUGUGUUGAGAUCAAGCGGGAACAUUCACUUAACACACUCCCUUGCCCAUGCAUUUCCCAGUAGGCGGGUGAUGCUCCAACUCCAGGUAUCUCCUGCUCUUUUCCUGUGAUGUGCUAUUACUAUUUUUAAGGUUUUUUGGUCUUUUGAGCACAACUGAGUUUGGUUCAGGAUUUGGGGAAAUCUUCUGCUGCUUGUGGCAUAGGGAGGGGAUUCUGCAGUUUUUUUGGACUAAACACUUGUUGCAGUCGUCUGUGACUGCAGAUGCACUGGACUUGAUAGCAUAGCUGG
ensembl:lncRNA